rnacentral:piRNA from 1 species
UGGGAAUUGAACUCAGGACCUCUGGAAGAGC